UCUCAAGACAGAUGCCGUUGCAAUCUUGAGAACUGCACAAUUUGGCAAAAACAUAAAAAGUGAAGUGGAUAAACAGCAAAGUUAUGUUGAAUUCAUUGGAUUCUAGGUGCGGUCGCGACCAAAGAUCCGUUAUGAUCCCACCUAAUGCAAACGCUCCAGCGAGUAAGAGGAUCGCAAACUUUGAACAUCACAUUUUAACUAGUACUAUACAUAUUGCAGUGUAUACAUGUCGCAUGAUGGAAUGAUGUUUUCUUCUAUCAUUUAAAGAAAUAUCCAAUAUUACUGUAAAUGUUUAUAGCUGCAUAUAUUAGAAGUACUUCUUCAGAAAUUUACUUAUAUACAUUAUUUAUGUGAUAAAGGUCAUCAGUUGUAUUUAGAAAAGAAUAUUCAAGUUUAUCAUUAGAAGAGUAAAAAUAGAAAAUCAAACUGCAAUCUGCUAUCUUUUAACAUUUGCACGGUUCAAAUUUCAAUAUAAAAUGCAACAUCGUUAUACUUGAGAAAUAAUCGCAACAAUGUGCGUGAUUCUAAGUAAAAUUACCCAGCUGACUAGACAUCCAACUGACAAUUAUUCGAGUUUUCAUCUUUACGUAAUCGUCGCGAUCGCGCGUGGCCACAAACCAUAGGAUAGGCGAGGCAAGAAGAAAGAGGAAGCGAGAUAUCGGAUUUAGGCCGCCGUUCCAAACAACAAUAUAUAUGUUGAUGCAUGUAUGUAUGUAUGUACGUAUGUAUGUAGAGGUGAAGCGGUCUCUGGACUAGGCAAGCUGAGCGAAAGAGCUGUGGCAAGGUCUAGGCUGGCUAGCAUUCAAGGUCGCAUGCACAGCGCAAAAGCCCCCGGAUCUAUCCCCGCUCCAGAUUUCUAGCGCCCUUUGCCUCUUCACCUUCUUUGUCGCUCUCACAUAUGCGUAACACAUUUUACUUUCCUCUCUCUUUCCCUCUUUCUCUCACUCCUCUAUCGUUUCUCCCUUCUCCUCGGUCAAUCGAGUCUCCUCUUGCUCUUUCCUGUAAUACACUCUCGCUCCCUCCUGUUCCUCUCAUUCCAUCCUCCUCCCUCUUUCUCUCAGCCCCUUCCUAAUCGCCUGCUAUUCCCCUCUCACGCCGCUUUGCCCUUUCCGCGUGCAACAUCGAUUUACUCAUAAAAAUUCCCCGCGUUCAACUUUAUCACUCGUCUAUUACUUCCUGGUCGAUGUUCGACGUCUCUCGUUCUCAAAUUUAUCGUUGUAAUAAAUGCAACAAAAGCAUGAUCGAUUCGUGGGGUAAUUUAGCAGCAAUGCCUGACGUUACUUGAAUUGCUUAUUUACAUGUCUUCUCAUGCAUUCGCAUAUACAUAUAUGCGGAGUAGGCACGUGUAUUAUUGACACGCGCGACUUGCCAGCUAGGUAUAAAGAGGAACAAGGAUGCGCUGAGUCUAGUAAAGAAACGGAAUCUCUGACUCGAAGGCGCAAAUUCAAACUUGCUUUGUCCCGCAAAUUUAUAUGAAUAAAGUAGUAACAUGGAAUGAAAAAUAGUUUUGUGGAAUUCUUAUCUGAAUAAAUGGUUCGUGUUUAAAGAUAAUUACACAAAGUAAUUACACAAAGAUCAAAUUCAGCAUAUGAUUAUAAAUAUCAAGUAACUUAUACGUAUAACUAUAUUAUGAUUGAACAAUAUGCAAUGCUUAUUGUAAAGUUAUUUAUUAGAAUAUAGAGAAAUUCAAUGGUUAAUAUCAAAAAUAUCAAUAUCAAAUCUUUAAAUGUUCUUACAUCUUUAUAACUAUGAAUAUUAUAUAUUGCAUAAUGUUUAUUAUGAUAUAAUUUAAUAGUAGAUAACGUUUUAUUUUAUUUAUCUAUUUCCAUUUAUUUGUCUUUUCCUCUCAAAAGCAGAAAGGAAACUGAGUAGGAUGUUGGAUAUCUCCUCUUCAAGCACAAUACACAACUUGUUGAAAUUUACUUGUAGUAAACAAAGGGCCAAUGUAUAUUAUCAUGACGGUAUCUUCAAAAAUGGAAUUUUCAUCCAUAAGAAACAUAUUAUAAGCGAGAUGAAGUUUAUUGUAACGUAUAUAUAUCACUUCAUUUCAAUAUGAAUUAUUUGUUAUGUAAAUUCUUACAGAAUAGAAUGCCAGAAUAUAGAUUUCGCCAUUAUUUAUCUCUCCAAAAAAUUUUACUAAUAUUCCGAAUAUACUUAAUCAAUCUAGAUAUUAUAGCCACGAUGUUCCAACACGAUUCCAUAUAUUCCGUUGACCUAGAUUAGACAUUAAGCGAAGAGAUUCGCAUUCCCCGUUUCCCUCCAAGCAUGAUGCCGUUGAAAGAAACAGAUACAUCAACGCGCGUUUUAUAACCGCGAAACGAGUCCUGUGAUCCGACAAACAGGCGUAGUAGCAUUUUAGCGACGCAAAAAUGCAAGGUGAAACUAGAUUUCCGAGUAGGUUAAUAUGGAAGCUGAGCAAAGAAUUCCUUGUCGCAGGACUCGCGGCCACUCCCAUAGAGAAAAAUAGAGAUAGAGACUGUAAGAAACAAAGAUGGAAGUGUGAAAUAGAGUGUAUGGAAUAGUCUGUGAAAAAGAGAGAUCAAUAAAUAAUUUUGAACUAGUGAA